ensembl:lncRNA B3GALT5-AS1 B3GALT5 antisense RNA 1
AGGAGGUGGGAGGAGCGCGCGGCGAUGCGCACAGGAAAUCUGAUAGGUGAGGAGGCCGGCGGGCCGCGCAGGGCGGCGCGGGCUGGGGGACGCGGCGGGCGGCUCCGGGAGGCGACGGGACCCCCAGGCCGGCAGCCGAGUGAAGAGGCAGGAACUGUCUACAAAUGCUCCGGCUCCGAAGCCCCGAGGGAAAGAGCAUCUUUCACGGAGCACCAGGAAUUGACGACGGUGGAAUUUGCUCAGAUCCCCUGAGGCCGGUUCUUUGAGUUUCUGUCUGGCCCUCCGGGAGAACCGUCCCAAAGUUAACUUUGAAAACACUCACAGGAGAGGGAAGGCUGUGGGGUCCUUCGCUUCUCAAACCCCAGAUGCCCCCGGAAAGAACACCGCCCCCGACCACCACCACAACCAGAUGUUUUUAAAAAGAGAUGCUAAGCAAAAGGCCUGAUUAUGAGGAAUGAGCCAAAGUCAUGCAAGGCGUGGGGCGCUAUGGGACUGCGCAGUGACGACCCAGUGAAGUAGAUGCCUUGACGAUUCCCAUUUCACGGAUGAGACGACUCCGGCACAGAGAAGUCAGAGGGCCUGUCCUGGGUCACACAGCCACAGGCGGCCCCCAGAACGGGACUUCAGGGUGCACCACUGCACCCCAGCAGAGACCUCCGCCUGGCACACAGGGAAUGCUGGAGCAAUACUUAAAUAGCAUGGCAGCUUUUCGUGUUUGGAAGCCUUCAGAAUCAUUUCCUACCCUCUCAAGGAACCCAUUCUUUAGAGGUACACACCGUUCCUGUCAGAGAGGCUAUCUUCCUAGUGCUAAAUGAUUUUUUGAUGCACUGAAAAUUAAAUUCACACUCAAAUUUCUGCAUUUGAGGAGAUUUUCCUGUACGCUGAGCUCUGUCAAAAGAGGUAUAUUGAAGAGAGGGUAGUUCUGGGACCAUUUGCAAGACAGCGCAUUGAUUGGAAGCCUAUACAUUCUGGAGUGUUGGCUUAAUAUGUUGAUCAUCCUUUGAGGUGGGGCACAAGGAAAAAUAAACUAUUUCUCCUUCAGGAACAUACAGUGGCAUAAGAGAGACCAACUUGGUGAUAACUGAUCAUAGGAUUAGACCAAGGUGCAGAAGCAAACAGAACCUCCAUAAAAUGUAAUGAUGUCUUGUGCCUGCAAUCCUAGUGCUUUCAGAGGCCAAGGUGGGAAGAUUCCUUGAGCUCAGGAGUUCGAGACCAGCCUGAACAACACAACAAGACCUCGUAUCUAUGAAAAAAUAAAAAUAAUAAAAUUAGCUGCACACCUAUUUGGUGGCACACACCUGUGGUCCCAGGUACUCGGGAGGCUGAGAUGAGAUCAUUUGAGCCCAGGAGAUCAAGGCUGCAAUCAGCUGUGAUCAUGCCACUGCCCUCCAGCCUGGACAACUGAGCGAGACCCUGUCUCCAAAAAAAGUAAAAUUAAAAAAAAAAUUAAAAUGUGAUGGAGUGCAGAGGAAAGGUCAGUUGAUUCUCACUAAGGGUUGGACUUCAUUGGUGAUUUUCUGUCUUUUUAAGAGUUAGAAACUCCUUUUUCAAAUGAAACGUGUAUGGACCUCCAAUGUCUUCAGCCAGGUCAGAGAUGUUUUGUUGGGGACGGGGGCUUCCAGCCCACUGAACACCCCUGUCCUGCCAUAGCCCCAGAGGUACCACCUUGGGCUCUGCCCAGUGCUGCUUCAACACCUCCAGAUGGGAGGAGAGGGACCUUUCCUUCCAGUUCUAACCCCCACAUCAGUCAAGGGAACCCUGUACAAAAUGCUGAGAAAGCCAAAGAAAGUCAGAGUGCAGGCAGCUUCUUGUGACUUACUGCGGGGGCUCCUUGUGUCUCCCCUCCUCCUGCCUGUUAGACUUCUCCUUGCUGGCUGGGCCCACGCGUGGAUGCACGGGUGCGGAGGAUGGGAACCCAGGAUCACUCAGCAACGUGCUUCUUGUCAGCUUCCUGCAAAGGGGAGAAAUCACGCGUCAACCAGAAGCUUUUAAGUGAAAAUCUGAGGACCUCCUACCUUCAUCCACCAGAAUGCUGCAGCUUUCAAAGUACUUUCUAGACAAUGUCAUUCAAGCUUGUGAUAAUCCCACUGGGUGGGAUGAGUGGGAGGUGUUAUUAUUUCACAGAUGAAAUUGAGGUUCGUUGGUGACUGAGCACCUCUUGUCACCUCACUGUCCCAUGUCCACAAUGGAGAUGCAGGAAAGGUGCUUUGAACUUUGGUCAGCACCUAGUAAGCCCUCAGUGCACGUUAGCACUGGUCAUUCGGUAGUGACCCAGGAGCUCAUCACUAGGAAGUGGCGGACUGGGAAGCAGAAUCAGACCUCCAAAUUCCCCCCAGGACCUGUCGCUCACUCUGCUAUUUGAGUGUCCAGCCCAGAAGCAUUUUCGGAUCUCCAAAAUAAAGUCAAAAGUGCUAGCAAUGCUUGGUGAAUUAAUAACAUGUGAUGUUGGCCAGGCACAGCGGCUCACGCCUAUAAUCCCAGCACUUUGGGAGGCCGAGGCGGGUGGAUCACGAAGUAAGGAGAUCGAGACCUUCUUGGCUAACACGGUGAAACCCCGUCUCUACUAAAAAUACAAAAAAUUAGCCGGGCGCGGUGGCGGGCGCCUGUAGUCCCAGCUACUGGGGAGGCUGAGGCAGGAGAAUGGCGUGAACCUGGGAGGCGGAGCUUGCAGUGAGCUGAGAUGGCACCACUGCAGUCCGGCCUGGGCGAAAGAGUGAGACUCCAUCUCAAAAAUUAAUUAAUUAAUUAAUUAAUUAAAAAAUAAAACAACACUGUGAUGUUAAGGCCCUAUUUUCCAGGAUUUAUCAUGAUUGGUUUUAUUGAGUAAAGCCUGGGCAAAAGACUUAGGUGUCAAUUUCGAAAGACUCAUUUAAGUAUCUUUUUAGAAGUAACAUUAUGUAUUAUUAUUGUUGUUAUUAUUAUUAAAGUUCUGUGCCAAUCAUUAUUCUAAAUGUUUGACAUUUCUUUCUCACUACAAUUUUGUGAGGUAGAUGCUGUUAUUCUCCCAUUUUACAGAUGAGAAAACUGAGCCACAGAGGAACCAAAUAAUUGGCCCUGGUAAAGCAAUCUCCUGACAAACAGAAAUAGCCUGAAGUUAUAACAUGCGCAUAUUCCUUGUUAGUGCACCUAAUUUCUCCCCCACUUUUUGGGCUGACUUAGGACUUCGUUGGGUUUUGUUUUGGUUUUCGUUUUGAGACAGAGUCUCACUCCAUCACCCAAGCUGGAGUGCAGUGGCACAAUCUCAGCAGACUACAGCCUCCACCUCCAGGGCUCAAGCAAUCCUCCCACCUCAGCCCCCCGAGUAGCUGGGAUUACUGGUGUGUGCCACCACACCUGGCUAAUUUUUGCCUCUUUUCUGUAGAGAUGGGGUUUUGCCGCAUUGACCAGGCUGGUCUUGAACUCCUGGCCUCAAGUGAUCUGCCCACCUUGGCCUCCCAAAGUACUGGGAUUACAGGCAUGAGCCACCACACCCAGCCUCCUCUCCCCCUUUUUAUCAUUAACAGUAUGAAUCUACAGGGAAGGGAGAGAAUUAGGCCUACAGAGCUUCCCACUUUAGCCUGAAGUGAAUGAGAAGCUGGCAGUAUUUAGCAUAGAUGUAUUUCAAAGAAGGAAAUCCAUAAAGCCAUAAUUAGCCCCUGAGCUGGAAGCCAGAUGAAAUUCCUUUAAAACAGAGAUAAGGAACUAAUUAUCCUACUUUCAUCUCAGGCAAAACACCAAGAAAUAGGGUGAAGAGCAAUAAGAAAAAUUAAUUAGAGGCAAAGUAAAUAUGGAAAAGGGAGAUCGAUGCAAAAAGGAGGGAGCUCUUCUCUUGAGGGCCAGGAAAAGCCUGCCGCCCAUUUCCCAAAUUUCCUCCUCUUUUACAGACUCAACAACAUGACUUAGAAAGGCUUGUGUGGUUUGUGCAUUCUAGGGUGGUCUUCACGGAAGUCUGUACCCUGGCUGUUCAAAAUGCAUUUAGAAAAAAACCAAAAACCACUAAACAGAGUCCGGGAUCUCACGUGUGACAACUUGGGGAGACCCUGUCUGCACAGUUUUAUAAUGCAGGCCUUCUCAGAGCCUUUAUUGUGAGCUGACAAUUGAUGUGCAAGAGGAGCAUAGGGAAUGCAAUAUUUCCCAAGCAUCUGAAAAUGAAACCCAUUUUUCAAAGAUUGUGUUGUAGGACUAGAGUUUCAAGAGCUCUGCUUUGGGUCAUGGUGUUCUAA